UGUGCAGAUCCUAAGCUAGAGUCAGAUGA
rnacentral:piRNA from 1 species